rnacentral:lncRNA from 1 species
CCAAUUCAAGUUUAUGUAAUUUGUUAUACACACGAUGCCCAGCUUUUCUUAUCAAAAAAUAUUAAGCUCCUUCAUGAUAAUUGUAAUGGUAGUUUUAUUGACAAGUGGAAGUGAAUCUUGGGCUCGAAUCCACCCGGCGCCAGCGCCAGUCGAACAUUGUGGUUCUGAGUUUGAGAAAGUGGCCAGCUCGGUGGUGGUCGAUGGAAAAAUUAAAGGGUGUCGGAAGGUGGC